rnacentral:rRNA from 1 species
UGGGGAAUCUUGCACAAUGGGCGAAAGCCUGAUGCAGCGACGCCGCGUGAGGGAUGAAGGCCCUAGGGUUGUAAACCUCUUUCAGCAGGGACGAAGCGAAAGUGACGGUACCUGCAGAAGAAGCCCCGGCUAACUACGUGCCAGCAGCCGCGGUAAUACGUAGGGGGCGAGCGUUGUCCGGAUUUAUUGGGCGUAAAGAGCGCGUAGGUGGUUUGUAAAGUCGGAUGUGAAAGUCCAGGGCUCAACCCUGGGAUGCCAUUCGAUACUUGCAAACUAGAGCAUGGUAGGGGGAUCUGGAAUUCCUGGUGUAGCGGUGAAAUGCGCAGAUAUCAGGAGGAACACCGGUGGCGAAGGCGGGAUCCUGGGCCAUUGCUGACACUGAGGCGCGAAAGCUGGGGGAGCGAACAGG